AACGAACGCUGGCGGCGCGCCUAACACAUGCAAGUCGAACGGAGUGAAGGAGCUUGCUCUUUCAUUUAGUGGCGCACGGGUGAGUAACGCGUAGAUAAUCUGCCUUAGACUCUGGGAUAACAUCUCGAAAGGGGUGCUAAUACCGGAUAAGCCCACGAUGGCGUAAGUCAUUGCGGGAAAAGGGGGCCCCUGAAUAUGCUCCUGAUCUAAGAUGAGUCUGCGUACCAUUAGCUAGUUGGUAGGGUAAGAGCCUACCAAGGCGACGAUGGUUAGCCGGUCUGAGAGGAUGAUCAGCCACACUGGCACUGAGAUACGGGCCAGACUCCUACGGGAGGCAGCAGUGAGGAUAUUGCGCAAUGGGCGAAAGCCUGACGCAGCGACGCCGCGUGGGGGAUGAAGUUUUCGGAUUGUAAACCCUUUCAUGAGGAAAGAUAAAGUGGGUAACCACUUAGACGGUACCUCAAGAAGAAGCCACGGCUAACUUCGUCG
rnacentral:rRNA from 1 species